rnacentral:misc_RNA from 1 species
AACGCACCUUGCACCCUUUACGGGGUAUGCCUGUUUGAGAAUCUUUAGAUUUCUUCAUCCUUAUGGAUGAGAUUUGAGCUUCUUUACUAGCAAUAGUAAAUGGCUUUAAAUAAAUUGCAUUGUAAUUGAACGCUCAUAUUGCGACGCACAAAAGUGUAUGAAGGGCUUGCCCACUUCCUUUAGUGUUAGCAGUAGUUCUAUAUGGUGCCCAAUUAUUAAAGGACUCUUCGGAGGACUUGAACUUUGGUCUCAACUCAGGUAGGAAGACCCGCUGAACUUAA